rnacentral:rRNA from 1 species
UUCCUACGGGAGGCAGCAGUAGGGAAUCUUCCACAAUGGACGAAAGUCUGAUGGAGCAAUGCCGUGUGAGUGAAGAAGGUUUUCGGAUCGUAAAACUCUGUUGUUGAAGAAGAACAUAUGUGAGAGUAACUGUUCACGUACUGACGGUAUUCAACCAGAAAGCCACGGCUAACUACGUGCCAGCAGCCGCGGUAAUA